CCACAACUUCGUUUGGUUUCUUGCGGCAUAGGAAAAAAUUCCUUGACCCCAGUUCUUUCAGCUUCUCCUCUCGAUUCAGACCUUCUAGGCUGAAGCG